ACGCUCGACACCUACGGGAGGCAGCAGUGGGGAAUAUUGGGCAAUGGGCGCAAGCCUGACCCAGCAACGCCGCGUGAGUGAUGAAGGUCUUCGGAUUGUAAAACUCUUUAAGCAGGGAAGAAGAAAGUGACGGUACCUGCAGAAUAAGCAUCGGCUAACUACGUGCCAACAGCCGCGGUAAUCUGAGCGGGCUGGCAAGGC
rnacentral:rRNA from 1 species